AGCGUGAUAACGUUGAUUGGGCGGCGUUACGCGCAUUUAGCGAUGAGCGGCCUGUGAGGAAUUUAGAGGGAGCCAGGAUUCUUGACUUCGAUGAGUUUUUGAUCCCGGAUUCGGCGCCAGCGGGUCCACCAGAGCCACCCACUCAGGCGUUUUCUCAUGGGUUUGCCGAGCCAGCGAUGUCUUCCCAUAUGACUACCGAGCCACAGGAUUCGGCGCCAGUGGGUCCACAGGAGCGACCCAUUCAGGAGCAUUCUCAUCACUGUAGAGGCAGAGGUGUCUUCUCAUGAGACUACCGAGGCGCGUACGUAAGUUUUUACUUAAAACUACUUUUAUUCAAUAUAAGGUAAAUAUUUAUUUAAUUUUUAUAACCUUUAUUUGGACUUCGAACAGCAUCUCGUCCAGGAGACUACCUCAUAUUCACCACCACACCCAUCUCAGGAGCCUACAGACCCAUCUCAGGAGCCUACUCAGGCGCCCGUUGACACACAGGUUCAUCCUUCGGCGCCUGAGGUGGCGACUCCCGACGAGGAAGAGGUCGAGUUUCCAGACCUAACUCAGCCUGAGGUUCUGAGCGUGCCAGCGGGACCAGAUCCCAAGAAGAAG